GCAAGGGCAGGCACAGGAGCUGCGGCUGGGAGAGGCGCUGUGCUGUGCCUCUCCCAACCGGGCUCCUAUGCCUGCUCUUGC